rnacentral:rRNA from 1 species
UACAGAGGGUGCGAGCGUUAAUCGGAAUUACUGGGCGUAAAGCGUGCGUAGACGGCUAUCUAAGUCGGGUGUGAAAGCCCCGGGCUCAACCUGGGAAUUGCAUUCGAGACUGAAUAGCUAGGGUACGGUAGAGGGAAGUGGAAUUUCCGGUGUAGCGGUGAAAUGCGUAGAUAUCGGAAGGAACACCAGUGGCGAAAGCGGCUUCCUGGUCCGACACCGACGUUCAGGCACGAAAGCGUGGGGAUCAAACAGG